rnacentral:rRNA from 1 species
CCUACGGGAGGCAGCAGUGGGGAAUAUUGCACAAUGGGGGAAACCCUGAUGCAGCGACGCCGCGUGAGUGAAGAAGUAAUUCGUUACGUAAAGCUCUAUCAGCAGGGAAGUAAAUGACGGUACCUGAGUAAGAUGCUCCGGCUAACUACGUGCCAGCAGCCGUGGUAAUACGGAGGGGGCAAGCGUUAUCCGGAUUUUCUGGGGGUAAGGGGAGUGUAGACGGUUCGCCAAGUCUGGUGUGAAAUGCUGCAGCUUAACUGCGGAACUGCUUUGGAAACUGGCGAACUAGAGUGCAGGAGGGGUAAGCGGAAUUCCUAGUGUAGCGGUGAAAUGCGUAGAUAUUAGGAAGAACACCGAUGGCGAAGGCAGCUUACUAGACCGUAACUGACGUUGAGGCUCGAAAGCGUGGGGAGCAAACAGGAUUAGAUACCCUUGUAGUC